rnacentral:lncRNA from 1 species
CCUUCGCUAUUUGUUCCUUAUCCAGAGUCAUAUCGGGGAGGUUUGGAGGGAUGUCAUUGCUCUCGCUGUCCUGCUCUGAAAUGGGAUUGGAUGCCUCAUAGCCAUAAAGUGCAAGCAGCUCCUCAAAUGGCAUUUCACUGCUCUGAGAGGCACUGAAACUCUUCUCCAGCUCUUCUAAAGACUUCUGCUUCUCCUGAGCAUCAUCUUCUUCUUCCCUUUCUUCCCG